ensembl:lncRNA
CAACCCUCCAUCCAACCCUCCACCCAACCCUCCAUCCAACCUUCCGCGGCUGGACCCGAACGUCCGGCCGGUGGCCCCGCGUCCCCCCGCCCCGUCCCCGGUGGGGAGGGCUGUGGGGACGGGGCGGGCCCCCCCGGGGAGGACCCGCCCGCCGCUGAGCCCCAGAGGGCAGACCGAGCGGCGGACCCUCCGGCCCAGGAGAGAGGGGAGGACGCGGGGGAGGGCUCUCCGGUUCAAAAAGAAUCAGACGAUCCUGUCCCACUGCCUGGUCCCUGUGACAUACAGCCCGGCGCUGUCGACCCGGGACAUCCUACAGAGAGCCCCCGUCUGUCAGAGAAGCCGCACCCAGACGACGGCAAGGAUACCAAGUCCUCCACGAAGAAGAAGAAGAGGACGUCGUCCAAGUCGCCGCAGAAGAAGAAGGAGGCCAAGAAGAGCAGCAGGCGGAGGUCCAGGUCCAACUCCCGCGCCCGCCGGAGGAGCUCGCGCUCGGUGAGCCGCAGCAAGAGGAAGAGGUCCGGGUCCCGGAAGAAGAGGUCCGUGUCGAGGAAGAAGAGGUCCGUGUCGAGGAAGAAGAGGUCCGGGUCGAGGAGGAAGAGGUCCGGGUCCCGGAGGAAGAGGUCCGGGUCCCGGAGGAAGAGGUCCGGGUCCAGGCCGCGGAGGAGAUCCAGGUCCAAGUCCAGGUCCAAGAAGAAAUCAAAGUCAAGGUCCCCGGCCCGGCGGUCCAGGAGGUCGCGGUCCGGGUCCCGGGCGCCGCGCCGGG